rnacentral:rRNA from 1 species
UGGGGAAUAUUGCACAAUGGGCGCAAGCCUGAUGCAGCCAUGCCGCGUGUAUGAAGAAGGCCUUCGGGUUGUAAAGUACUUUCAGCGGGGAGGAAGGGAGUAAAGUUAAUACCUUUGCCCAUUGACGUUACCCGCAGAAGAAGCACCGGCUAACUCCGUGCCAGCAGCCGCGGUAAUACGGAGGGUGCAAGCGUUAAUCGGAAUUACUGGGCGUAAAGCGCACGCAGGCGGUUUGUUAAGUCAGAUGUGAAAUCCCCGGGCUCAACCUGGGAACUGCAUCUGAUACUGGAAAGCUUGAGUAUCGUAGAGGGGGGUAGAAUUCCAGGUGUAGCGGUGAAAUGCGUAGAGAUCUGGAGGAAUACCGGUGGCGAAGGCGGCCCCCUGGACGGAGACUGACGCUCAGGUGCGAAAGCGUGGGGAGCAAACAGG